CCUACGGGAGGCUGCAGUGGGGAAUAUUGGACAAUGGGCGAAAGCCUGAUCCAGCCAUGCCGCGUGUGUGAAGAAGGCCUUCGGGUUGUAAAGCACUUUCAGUGGGGAAGAAAGCCUUGGGGCUAAUACCCUCGAGGAAGGACAUCACCCACAGAAGAAGCACCGGCUAACUCCGUGCCAGCAGCCGCGGUAAUACGGAGGGUGCGAGCGUUAAUCGGAAUUACUGGGCGUAAAGCGCGCGUAGGCGGUCUGAUAAGCCGGUUGUGAAAGCCCCGGGCUCAACCUGGGAACGGCAUCCGGAACUGUCAGGCUAGAGUGCAGGAGAGGAAGGUAGAAUUCCCGGUGUAGCGGUGAAAUGGGUAGAGAUCGGGAGGAAUACCAGUGGCGAAGGCGGCCUUCUGGACUGACACUGACGCUGAGGUGCGAAAGCGUGGGUAGCAAACAGGAUUAGAUACCCUAGUAGU
rnacentral:rRNA from 1 species